rnacentral:lncRNA from 1 species
UUUUUCUUAAUGUCGAUUUAAUCCCUAACUUUUGUUUUCAGCCAAUUUGAUCUCUAAACUUAUAUUAUGGUUUCAAUUAAGGAUCUCUACGGCAGCGCCACCACGGAAAAUAGAUCAAACUCCACAUUGACCAAUUAAACAGGGGUAUUUUAGGAACUUUUAGAUAUCCCCUCCCUCUAUUAUCAAUUCCUACGGCCUACCAGCCACCUCCCCCUUCUACUCCUACCUUUCUUCUCCAACCUCUCCAUUCCCUCCAUCUAUCAUGUCCAUCAUCUUUGUUGCAGCCCACUAACUAGUCCUUGAGCAGCCCAAAACACAAUCCUUCUUACAUUGAAGAAGAGGCUUCCUUUGUCAAAAGAGAUAGCAGUAAAAGCUUCUCUCUUUCUUGCUUCUACACAGCUAUAGCCAUGCCAAGUUCAAAGCAGGAAUCAAAGGUUUAUCCCAAGCAGCCAUCAAAAUGACUUUUGUUGUGGUGGAUGAUGAGUGUUAGGCGAAGCCAUGAAAUCCUUGUUAGUUUCUUGGGAAAUUUUGGCCUUGCUGAACUUGUACACUGCAAAAAUAAUAUGGAUACAUUGAAAUAAAGUUUUUCGUAGCUUUGGGUAUAAGCGAUACAUCAAAUCUUGCCUCCAGUAGUCCUCCAGUUUUUACAUAUAUCAUGUUGUCUUGUAAUUUGAUUUUUGAAUUUUGCCGGAAUGUUCUUGCUAUCUAUGAACAUGCCCUUUUUCUUCCAUGGAAGGAGGAUAAAAAUGAAUUAAAAAAAAAAAGAGAAUUUACUCUUCACUCUCCAUCCAAUCCACCAUUUUUGGUACUGCUCCUAUAUUUGAUUUUGUUAAUAUAAUGCUUACAAAACUCAAAUUACUACUACUACUUGUCUGUAGAGAAUCACUGGAUUAGAUCCACCUUAAUCAACAAAAUCAUUACUAAUGAUUACCAAAAAAACAACAUACUUCAUCAUGUCUUGAUCUUCACUAGAACAGAUCCGAUACUUACCCAACAUCUAGAUUUGGGGCAUCAUAUGGUUUCGGCUUCACCCAAUUCAAGGGAGUCUCUUUGCUUAGUUUUUGGAAUAUCUUGGCCCUCAAAUCCCUCCCAAACUCUACCUUCUCUCCAUCAUUGGCUCCUCUUCGCACCCUUCUCCGUCCCAGAAGUCAAAGUAUCGCAUCUUGUUCCUGAUCGAUUCUUAGUUGCAAAAUUUAUAGAGAUGACUGACAUAACAGAGGGAGGAGCAAAAGAGGUGGGAGAAGAAGGGCGAGAGAAGGAGGAGGUAGGUGGCAGGUGGUGGAAAUUGAUGGUGCAAGGAGGACAAAUCAAAAGUUCCUAAAAUACCCCUGUUUAGUUGAUAAAUUAGGAGUUUGAUU